CCUACGGGAGGCAGCAGUGGGGAAUAUUGCACAAUGGGGGAAACCCUGAUGCAGCAACGCCGCGUGAAGGAAGACGGUUUUCGGAUUGUAAACUUCUGUUCUUAGUGAAGAAUAAUGGUGGUAGCUAAGGAUCAAGCUACGGCUAACUACGUGCCAGCAGCCGCGGUAAUACGUAGGUGGCAAGCGUUGUUCGGAGUUACUGGGUGUAAAGGGACCGCAGGCGGGAAGCUAAGUCUGAUGUGAAAGCGACGGGCUUAACUGGUGGACUGCAUUUGAAACUGGGAUACUUGAGUGAAGUAGAGGAGAGCGGAAUUCCGAGUGUAGCGGUGAAAUGCGUAGAUAUACGGAAGAACACCAGUGGCGAAAGCGGCCAUCUGGGCUGUAACUGACGCUGAGGCUCGAAAGUGUGGGUAGCAAACAGGAUUAGAUACCCGUGUAGUC
rnacentral:rRNA from 1 species